UACGUAGGGUGCGAGCGUUGUCCGGAAUUAUUGGGCGUAAAGAGCUCGUAGGCGGUGUGUCACGUCGUUCGUGAAAACCUGCAGCUUAACUGUGGGCGUGCGGUCGAUACGGGCAUCACUGGAGUUCGGCAGGGGAGACUGGAAUUCCUGGUGUAGCGGUGAAAUGCGCAGAUAUCAGGAGGAACACCGGUGGCGAAGGCGGAUCUCUGGGCCUUGCCUGACG
rnacentral:rRNA from 1 species